ensembl:rRNA 5S_rRNA 5S ribosomal RNA
GACUACAGCCAUGCCACUCUGAACAUGCCCAAUCCUGUCUGAUCUUGGAAGCUAAGAAGGAUCGGGCCUGGUUAGUACUUGGAUGGGAGACCACCAAAGAAGACUGGGUGGGUGUUGUAG